GCGAGAGUGGCGGAAUUGGUAGACGCGCUGGAUUUAGGUUCCAGUGCCGUAAGGCGUGAGAGUUCGAGUCUCUCCUUUCGCA
rnacentral:tRNA from 1 species